rnacentral:rRNA from 1 species
GGGGUGGGGCGGCCUACCAUGCAAGUCGAGCGGAUGAAGGGAGCUUGCUCCCUGAUUCAGCGGCGGACGGGUGAGUAAUGCCUAGGAAUCUGCCUGGUAGUGGGGGACAACGUUUCGAAAGGAACGCUAAUACCGCAUACGUCCUACGGGAGAAAGCAGGGGACCUUCGGGCCUUGCGCUAUCAGAUGAGCCUAGGUCGGAUUAGCUAGUUGGUGAGGUAAUGGCUCACCAAGGCUGCGAUCCGUAACUGGUCUGAGAGGAUGAUCAGUCACACUGGAACUGAGACACGGUCCAGACUCCUACGGGAGGCAGCAGUGGGGAAUAUUGGACAAUGGGCGAAAGCCUGAUCCAGCCAUGCCGCGUGUGUGAAGAAGGUCUUCGGAUUGUAAAGCACUUUAAGUUGGGAGGAAGGGCAGUAAGUUAAUACCUUGCUGUUUUGACGUUACCGACAGAAUAAGCACCGGCUAACUUCGUGCCAGCAGCCGCGGUAAUACGAAGGGUGCAAGCGUUAAUCGGAAUUACUGGGCGUAAAGCGCGCGUAGGUGGUUUGUUAAGUUGGAAGUGAAAGCCCCGGGCUCAACCUGGGAACUGCUUUCAAAACUGGCAAGCUAGAGUAUGGCAGAGGGUGGUGGAAUUUCCUGUGUAGCGGUGAAAUGCGUAGAUAUAGGAAGGAACACCAGUGGCGAAGGCGACCACCUGGGCUAAUACUGACACUGAGGUGCGAAAGCGUGGGGAGCAAACAGGAUUAGAUACCCUGGUAGUCCACGCCGUAAACGAUGUCGACUAGCCUUUGGGAUCCUUGAGAUCUUAGUGGCGCAGCUAACGCAUUAAGUCGACCGCCUGGGGAGUACGGCCGCAAGGUUAAAACUCAAAUGAAUUGACGGGGGCCCGCACAAGCGGUGGAGCAUGUGGUUUAAUUCAAAGCAACGCGAAGAACCUUACCAGGCCUUGACAUGCAGAGAACUUUCCAGAAAUGGAUUGGUGCCUUCGGGAGCUCUGACACAAGUGCUGCAUGGCUGUCGUCACCUCGUGUCGUGAGAUGUUGGGUUAAGUCCCGUAACGAGCGCAACCCUUGUCCUUAGUUACCAGCACGUAAUGGUGGGCACUCUAAGGAGACUGCCGGUAACAACCCGCAAGAAAGUUGGGGAUGACGUCAAGUCAUCAUGGCCCUUACGGCCUGGGCUACAACCCUGCCUACAAGGUCGGUAAAAAGGGUUGCCAAGCCCCGGGGGGGAACUAUUCCCCAAAAAACCAAUUUAAUUCCGGAUACAAAUUGGGAACUCGACUGCGUGAAGUCGGAAUCGCUAGUAAUCGUGAAUCAGAAUGUCACGGUGAAUACGUUCCCGGGCCUUGUACACACCGCCCGUCACACCAUGGGAGUGGGUUGCUCCAGAAGUAGCUAGUCUAACCUUCGGGAGGACGGUACCACGGAGGAUCAGGC